GUAAAUGCGUUGAUAAGGAAUAGUACAUGAAAACUGGAGCACAGAGAGCUGUCGGCUGGUGGAAGACAGUGGAAGGGAAUCAUGGAACUCACCUUGGAGUAUCUGCCCCAAAGCCAGUGGUUAGUAGGCGCAGACGGAAUCCACCGUUAUAUGGAAGGGAUAUAAGGAUUUUCAGCAGACAGAUGCAAGAGGAAGAUUCCGUAUCCUGUGAGUGUAUGAAACUGUUCAUAAAGAAGAGUGGUACCGCGGAAGUAUAAUCUUUCGUCUCUUAC
rnacentral:ncRNA from 1 species